UUAAAAUGUUAGUAAUUGGAUAGUAACUACAGCGCAAAUUAAGGGUAUGUUGGCAAGAAUAAAGUUGGAGCCGGGUCUAAUCCUUAUCCGACCUUGUAACUUCGAUACCAUAAUUGCCUUUAUAUUAUUCAUUAAAAACACGUUUCUUGCACAUUCAGCAUUAUAUAAAAUAGCUUUCCUCUUGCAGAGACAAGAGCUUUCCUCUUUCAAAGAGCUUAAAUUUUUUUUUUUUUUUGUUUCUCUCUCUCUCUCUCUCUCUCUCUAUAUAUAUAUAUAUAUAUAUAUAUGUAUCAUUCUUCUCUCUUUAGGAAAUCUCCUUGUCUUCCAUUUAUUCAUCUGCGAACCCUAGUCUUUUCCAUCCGUAUCACGAUCGCUCGCUCGCUCGCUCAAACCACGAAUCACAUUUUGGAUCUCCUAUUAUGGCUUCUGUAUCUUCAGGUCGUAACCAUUCGGGUUCGAAAGUUGUUAUAGGAGAAACAAAUUUUUUAUUUUGUUUUUAAACAAAUAACUCUUUAAAUUACAAAAUAGUUACAACUAAACCCACUAUCAUCAAUUUGACGUUAAAACAUUAGUGAGAGGAAGGCGGAGGUUGACUCAUAAUUACAUAAUUAGCCAUGUGCAUGUGCUCUGCACAUGACUAAUAUUGUUCUUGUUAUAUUAUACGAUACCCGGCACAACAGAUCAUUCUCCAUCAAGGAUCUAUCUUGAAGGCGGUUGCUGCUUGUGGUGAACAAUCUUCGUUUCAGUUUGUUCAGGUGCUGCAAAGGAUCUCCUAGGCUCAACCACAUUUAGUGGCUUUCAUUCUUGUUGAUUUAACCAUUAUAUUAUUCUGUUUUUGGUGAACUGGUAAUCAUUGCAUGAUGAGGGACAAGAAAGAAUACAAGUAAAAGCAAUAUUAACAUGGUUUCACUCAUCUGCUUCUCUUACAUGUUGGCUAUUUGAGAAGGUUUUCGAUUGUAAUUUUGGAGGUAUUGGUUUGCAAGCUCUGGACCUCGUGAUUUUUCAAUGUCCAUGGGUUUGUUCUUCUUAUUGCAUAAUUUGUGAGGUUGGAAUUUGUAAUUCUUUGGUGUGUAAAAUUUUUGGCAUUAGUGUUAGCUCUCCUUUGUCACAUAAUUUAUGAGUAGGAUUCCAUGUAAAACUGCUGUGAUCAUUCCAUCUCUUAAAAGUUUGAAUGUCUAAUGCUUUUUUUGGCCCUUUUCUCAUUCAAUGCUCAGAAUCAUCUUAUUUUCACUUCAAUAUAAUGCCGCCAUUACACUUCCUCUUAUUUUUGUUCUGAACAUAAAUUUCCUUGAGCUUUGCUUAUAAUGUAGCCAAGUAAGGGGACUAUUUGAACCAUUAAAGUCCACUCUUGUUAGCUCUCCCAUGAGAAGAUAGCAUGCAGUUGUAGAUCAAGCAAAGUUGCAUAGGAUCAUUGCUUGGCAUACUUAAGAGUCAUGCUAGAAUCUAGUUGUCUUGUCAUUUCCAACAACAAACCUGAUAUAUUUGGAAAUGUCCUCCCACCACUUCUUAUAAACUUCCAAAAUCUUGAUCCAGACGACACACUACUUUGAGCACUACUCACCCCUGACACACUGGCACUUCCACAUGUUUUCUCUACAAUGUCUCUCUUAAGACAUUUCUGAUCCCCUCCGAAGUUCUCCACAAACGUCUUCAGAGCUUUAUUGGAAAACCAAAGGUGCCUAAUCCCCAAAUCACUUUACAAGGAGAUAAAUAUAUUGAUAUCAGCCAUUACUUUUGUGGCACCCCUUACAAUAAACGAUUAAAUUUCUCAUUUCUUUAAUGCAUUAUUUCUUUUGAUGUUGUUUCGUCAUUUCACUAUCGCUUUUCAAGUGAGUAUAGAAGUAGCUAUAAGAUAGAGGUUAUGAAUUUAUUUUGUUUUGGCAUUCUACUAUUCUUCCAUUGUUUCUAUGAUAUUAGGUUAAAUAUCAAAGGAAAAUAGCAAUCAUAGGAAACACUUAAAAGGAUGAAUGUUAAAUGGUUUGGCAAAAGGAUGAAUGCUUUUGUCUGAUGUAACUAGGAAAAUUUGUCACAAGAGAAACACUUAAAACAAGCAUCACAUAAUCUAUAGAUUAGUUGUUUAGUAACACGUCUCCGACUGGUAAGAUGCAUCAUAAAGAAGUAUCUGUAGUACUCAUUUAUACCAAUCCAGCCAGCUUUUGACUGAUCUCCCAUAAUCUACGUGCCUUCUCUGCAUCACUGGCUUCUCUAGAGAGCUUGUUUUCAAAUAAGGCAGAGUUCUUGUUCCAGCUCCGGUAUACACCCGAUUUUGUUAAGGUUGGAUCGCUCACUACCUGAAACACGAAGGAUGGUUUAGUUGGUGUACUACUCAGAACUAAGUUAAUAGCUUUCUCUUGUGAAAAUUUUAACUGACCUGUGCAAGUCUUUUCCCAGCUUCCUCUUCAGAUACAUAACCUUUGGUGAUGUACUUUUGGAAGGGGGGGAAGAGUAGCCUGAGCAAGGGGAUAUGCUCCCUGAACAAGCCUGUGGUAGCAAUGCAACCGGGGUAGAGGGAAGCAAAGGUGAUUCCUGUCUCCUCGUAGUAGCAUCUGUGGAACUCUUGCAUGGUGAGCAUAUUGCAGACUUUGCUGUCCUUGUAGGCCUUGGCACCAUCAAAGUCACCCCCAUCUAUCAUGGGUGAGCGUUUAGCCCAUUCAAGCCUCCUGCAAGUCCCCUCAGAUCCCCAAGGUUAGCCUUUGGAGGCACAUUCCCAGCCAAGGUGUUUGUGUUUCCUGAAGUUCAAGUUAGAAUACAACCAUAUUUAGAACAUUUAUUCUGCUUAUUAUAGCCCGUUUAGAUAUAUACAUGAUUGUUAUUUCUAAAAAACAAGAUAUAUACAUGAUUGUUAUUUCUAAAAAACAA